rnacentral:lncRNA from 1 species
UCACAUACCUCUAAAUUCACCCAACUGCGUAGAAGCAAAAUCUGGGUGGCCGCCGUCAAGUACCGCCGUUCGUCUUCAUUCAAAGAUGUACCGUUGGUUUGGGAGGUCUCGCGAGAUCUCGCACAGUGUCCCUUCCCGGGCACCGUACAAUCCCGCCACUGAAUGUAUAGAUACCGGAAGCUUGCGAGCGGUAAAACUGGUUACGGCGUGUUUAGGUUAUAGCAUGGAUGCUGAGGACAUUUGCGUGAGAUAGCGUUGCUUGCCCAGUCUAGUUGACUAACGUUAGCUACGUUACAAGACAGUUACAGUAAUAGCUAUGUCGAAAAGAAAACACAACGUUACUCUCAACACGAAAGAAAAAGAUUGGUUGAGAGAAAACGUUCCAAGACGUACUUUGACAAGAUGGAAAAAAAGGAAAAUCAACAGAACUUUGACUGACAUUGAAAAACACACUGCUCAACGACAUGAAAUUGAUGAAGGUGCCAGCCAAAGCGAAGAGCAGAGAGCAGAGCCUUUCACAUUAACACAGGAAAUUGAUGAAGAUGCCAGCCAAAGCGAAGAGCAGAGAGCAGAGCCUUUCACAUCAACACAGGAAAUUGAUGAGGAUGCCAGCCAAAGCGAAGAGCAGAGAGCAGAGCCUUUCACAUUAACACAGGAAAUUGAUGAGGAUGCCAGCCAAAGCGAAGAGCAGAGAGCAGAGCCUUUCACAUCAACACAGGAAAUUGAUGAAGAUCCCAGCCAAAGCGAAGAGCAGAGAGCAGAGCCUUUCACAUCAACACAGGACAAUGUACCUCAAGCAAUAGAUGAUGUCCACACCCAAGGACUAACGGAAGAGCAAAGUUGCAUCUCGAUUCUCUCCUUUGCAUUGAGACACAACACUACAGGUGUAUUGAUGGAAGACCUGCUGAAACUUUUAAAGUUACAUUCUGCUGGGACAAGUGCAAUUCCAGCAAGCAAGUAUUUUUUGGGGAAACCAUUAGCUGGUAUUGUAGAUCAAUUUGAACACCAUCAUUACUGCAGCGUAUGUACUAAGUACCUUGGCACUUCACAGUCACAAGAAGAAACACUUACAUGCGUGUCAUGUUCCUCAUCCAUAACAGUAAAAGCCAGUUUACACGAAGGACAUUUCUUUAUCAGUAUUCCAUUAAAGGGCCAACUGAAAGAUAUUCUUGAGAAUCAGGGUAUGCAUGAUCUCUGUUUUCCUGCUGAUGACAGUAGUAGAGAAGUAAUAAAUGAUAUAUGUGAUGGCACCUUAUAUCAGGCCUUGCAGUCAAACAGUGAAGUGGAUUUCCUUUCCCUUACAUUUAAUUGUGAUGGUGUACCAGUCUUUCAGUCCUCUAAAUUUAGUAUUUGGCCAAUACUGUGUUGUGUUAAUGAGAUACCCCCUCAGUGCAGAGAUAAGCAUGUACUUUUAUGUGCUUUGUGGUUCGGUUCCAAAAAGCCAGACAUGACCUGUUUCUUCAAACCAUUUGUGGAGGAAUGUGCCAAUCUUUCAAAAACUGGUUUUAAGUGGCAUCAUCCUAUUGAUCAGUCAUGGAGAAAUGUGAAGGUGCACCCAUUGUGCUGUGUGUGUGAUGCAGUAGCAAGGCCUUUACUACAGAAUUUUAAGCAAUUUAAUGGUGAAUAUGGCUGUGGAGUCUGCCUUCACCCUGGGGUGCAAAUGAGGAAAGGACAAGGAAACUCAAGAGUUUACACAUGUUCAGCUGAAAAACCAAGUGACAGAAAUCACAAAACCACAGUAGAAAUAGGACAAAUUGCUGAAAGAGAAGGGAAGACUAUAUUGGGCAUAAAGGGCCCAUCUGCUAUUGUAGAUUUAGCAAAGUUUGAUCUAAUCAAUGGGAUGGUCCCUGACUAUAUGCACUGUGUGUUGCUUGGCGUGUGUAGACAAAUGGCGACUUUAUGGAUCGAUUCUAAGAGCUAUUCUGAGCCAUGGUACAUUGGCACACAAACAGCAAUCAUGGACAGACACCUCUUGUCUAUAAAACCACCAGGUAUUGUUGCUCGAGUUCCAAGAUCUCUCACUGAACGCAAGUUCUGGAAAGCCCACGAGUGGCAACACUGGCUUCUGUAUUAUAGCUUGCCAGUUCUGAAAGGCAUACUUCCACAGAAGUAUCACUCUCAUUGGGCGUUACUGAUAGAGGGCAUAAGCAUUCUGUUGGGAUCUGAAUUAAGUACAGAGCAGAUAAAUCACGCCCAUGACGCAUUAGUGUACUUUGUUGGAGGUGUGCAAGCGCUGUAUGGGGAAGAGCACAUGACAUUCAAUGUUCAUUCACUUCUGCAUUUAAGCCAAAGUGUUGUGCAUUGGGGUCCAUUGUGGGCCCACUCAGCCUUUAUGUUUGAAGCUUUCAAUGGAUACCUACUGAAACAAGUAAAAAGUAGUCAAGCUGUACCACAACAAAUAUGCAAACGAGUGAUGUUGUCCCGUGCUUUUCCCCGUUUAGCAAAACAAUUCCUAACAAAUGCACCAGCAGAGGUUAAAGAUUUCUGUAAUGAAAUGAGAACCGAAAAGCAUCAUGUCAAGAAGUUUGCAAAGUUUGCUGAGGUGACUGCCCUUGGUCCACCAAAUGUAAGAUUAAUAUCUGUUGGUGAUCAAGCUGCCCUCCACACAGUGAAACAGGUUCCCACAAACUAUGUGGUGAAUUACUACAAGAGAAUUGCUGUAAAUGCAGAAGUUGUACAUGGUCAUACCUACAGCAAAACAAAACAAAGAAACAACUCUAUUGUGCUUUUGAAGGAUGGGAGUAUUUUUAGAGUCUCCCACUUUAUUGACAUUGGUGAUCAGUGUUUAUAUGCCAUAGGGAACUAUGGUAAAUGCACAGUGCAGAAGUUAGCCAGAGGUUCUCUUAUCAAAACUCCACUGAGCUACAUGUCAACGGUGCACUUUCCCACAGGCUUUCACAAAGCCAUAAACACUACUCAGGUAGUUGGACCAUGUAUGUAUAUUCAGUGUCCACAAUCCAGCUCGUUUGUGUGUCGGCUGCUGAAGACAUAUUAUUGUAAAUGAAUGAUUGUGAACUAAAUGUGAAGAUGGUCACCUAUUAAUUUAGGGUCGCUGAGCUGGAAAGUAACUAAUUGCUAUUACUGUUACUGUAAUUGAGUGUAAUUGUACUGUGACUGAACUGUACGUUCUUUAACUUUAAGGUGAGAAACACAAAUCUAUUACCAAUGUAACUAUGAUGAAAUGGCAUAUAUCAGAAUGACAAAUACAUUUAUUCUUCUUUGAUACCUUUGCAAUGCAUGUCAUCAACUUGUAUGUAUUUCAAUGUAACGUCCAAAAAGAGACAAGUGCAAAACAACUUAAAGUUGCAUCUUAAUCAACUUGGGUCAGUUGGGUCAUGUAAAAAGAAAAAAAAUCCAUUGCCACUUUUCUGAAUUUUAAGUAAAUAUGCAACUUGUGUAAUGUCAUUUGCUAAUUUUGUGAAAAAUUAAAAUCUUUCUACAGCAAGAAAGGAGGGAGU